CCAGGAGUCUGUGAUGGACAGGGAGGCCUGGCGUGCUGCAAUUCAUGGGGUCGCAAAGAGUCGGACACGACUGAGCGACUGAACUGAACUGAGGUACUUUGUACAGCCGCAUGAAGGUCAUUAAGCAGUGGGCCCUGCUGCUAAGGAUUUCAGUGGGUUCAGGGGAAGAAAGUUUAUUUAUUGGCUGCACUGGAUCCUUAUUGCUGUGCGUGGACUUUCUCUAGUUGUGGAGAGCAGGGGCCACACUCUAGUUCUGGUGUGCAGGCUUCUCGUUGCACCGGCUUCUCUGUUGCGGGGGCUUUAGGGCAUGCGGGCUUUAGUAGCUGCUGCACGUGUGCUCAGGAGUUGCGGCUCAUGGGCUCCAGAGCGCAGGCGUACUUGCGGGGCACUGGCUUAGCUGUUCUGGUGGCAUGUAGGAUCUUCCCCAACCAGGGAUGAAACGGUGUCCCUUGCAUCGCAAGGCUAAUUCUUAAUCACUGGACCACCAGGCUGGUGCUUCCCUCCUGCCCCUUUAUGCCCUAGCCCUUUGUGAAAUAAUUAAUUACCUUUUCUGAUCCAACUCAAGUUCUUUUUCUGCAGCGAGGAUGUACAUAAAAACAAAUCGAUACUCCAUGAGGAAACUUCCCAGAGAAACUACAUAAGGCUCCAUUGUUGAAGGAGCAGCAUAAAGGCAGGGAGUGGAAGGACGGUUCCUCACAAUUGUUUCUAAUAGGGUCUUUUAAAAUUAGCAGCAAGAGAGAGUAUUUAACAAGAAAUCAGAGUCGAAAGUGAGAAGAAGCCUGAAGACAAAGGGUACAUCUACUAUGUCUAGAAGUCUCAGUGACUCUACCUUCAAAAUAUAUACAAAAUUCAGGAAGUUCCUCAGGCAAAAAGGAAUUAUGAGACCAACCAUAAGCCUGUAUCUACAUCAAGAAGUGAAGAGUAUGGGAAAUAGACUAAGGCAAGGAGAACAGCAGAUUCCUGUAUUGUGCUCAGGCGACUUCUUUCCAGUGUGUCUUCUCAUUCUGGAGCCUCUCCCGAGGUCCUAAACCACAGACUUCCCAGUUUGACUAGAUGAAGAUCAGUUUCCUCAAUUCUUUGUUCUCCACUCUGAACAUGAAUUUACUCUCAUUCUCUAUAUGAUUAAACUAGAAUGAAACAUAUGGAUGCAAAAAAAGUUUCAUUUGUUGCCAGAUACCUUCUCUACAUAACAUCUGGACCUAUAGAACAUCUGCACAGCUUUUCAUCUGGAUGUUUGGCGAAUACAGAGAUAAUAUUUCCUUUCUAAAUCUAAUUCUUACACAGUGUUAUUCUCAUAGCAUAUUUGUUAAUGCUUCUAAUAUCCUAUUAUUUUAUCAAAUAAAAU